rnacentral:rRNA from 1 species
CAGCAGCCGCGGUAAAACGUAGGUGGCAAGCGUUAAUCGGAAUUACUGGGCGUAAAGCGUGCGCAGGCGGUUCUAUAAGACAGAUGUGAAAUCCCCGGGCUCAACCUGGGAACUGCAUUUGUGACUGUAGAGCUGGAGUGCGGCAGAGGGGGAUGGAAUUCCGCGUGUAGCAGUGAAAUGCGUAGAUAUGCGGAGGAACACCGAUGGCGAAGGCAAUCCCCUGGGCCUGCACUGACGCUCAUGCACGAAAGCGUGGGGAGCAAACAGGAUUAGAUACCCGCGUAGUCCCUGUCUCUUAUAC